GUAAGUGCUAGAGAUCGUCCCGGAUCAUGGCUUCCCUUCCUUAGGAGGAGCCAACUCCUGCUGGUUCUAGAACCGAAGGUGGGGAAACUGGGAUUGCCCAGUCUCCUUUGAGAACCAUUUUGCCGCACUGGGUCGUUGGCCCUUUCGUCCAACUCGGAAGGACUCCCUAGUGCCGCGCCGGGUUGUGGUUGCCUUCCGUUCCAAGAUAGCAUCUUCUGCCAACACAGUUUCUUGUGCGGUAACCAAAUCCUCUACAGUUGGUAAUGUCUCACCCGGCUCGUCGUCCAGCAUUGACGGCUCAAAGGGUUUCAAUUUUUCAAUGUUAACAACCGAGUACAUUUCCAUAUAUACUGGCAGCUCUAGUUGGUAGGCAU
rnacentral:lncRNA from 1 species